AGAUAAUUUAAUAGAAGCACAAGUUAUAGAACAUGGAGGGGGGGCAUCGUCUCCAGUCAGAACCAAAAGUCGCCUCCUGAAUGGGGAAAAAUGGUCUGAAGACGCUGAGGUUUCACCACAUCAUCCCAUCAGAUAUCUGUGGAGCACCCUUCACAUAUUCACCUUCAAGUGGUUUAUAAAAGUCUGCAUUGUUUCAGAAUUUGAUGCAUACAUCCUCAAAACCAAUGUUUUCUUAAUAAUCUUGCAUGUUAUAACUCAAUGCUUUCAUAAUAGACCAAUAGGUAUGUCCUUAUAUAAUCAGUUCAUUUAUACAAUAACCUUGUAUUAUGAAUGUGCAUACAAAGAAUCAAUACAAAUGUAAGGUGUAAUAUUCUACACUACAGUUUCAUUAAAAUGUUACUAUUUUUAAACUAAUUUCAGACGUGGGUUCUUCUUCUCGGCGGCACCAAUGAGCUGCUGUACUUCACGGACUGAAUGAAGAAAUCAGAAGCUCAGGCCUCCAAACUACCGUCUAAAAGCUGGAGAAUGAACCGCCAGGCUCCGCCCCCAACGGACAGCGGCGUCACACCAGGAGGACAAAGAGAACCAUGUUCAAAAGGAAACGUUUAGGACGCAUGUGUGCGCACAUACCAAUAUGGCUGGAGCUUUUAUUGCACAAAAGAUGACAGUUGAAGUUCCGUUACAAACAAAUCAAAGCUUUGUAAACAGUGAAGCAGCUCUGAGCCCCCGUCGCCACACGCGUGUUCACCGGCGCUCAGCAAGUAAGUGUGUCCACGAGAGACAACCAGUGAGAGUGCCUACAAGAAGCAGAGGGAGGCUGGGACACGGGAGGGCGGGGACACGCUGGGACACAGGAAGGGUUUAAUGAUUUUAAAAAACCCAUUAAAAACGUUUGGCUUUGAACUCAAAUGAGAAGGACACCCUUUAGUUUGCUCUCUUUCACUCAGGACGAACGCAAAGCUUUGAUCGCGGUCUCGGGUCGUGGACGCGGCACUCGGAUCACUUUAAGUCUCACUGUCCUCCAUGUGAGCUAGACAAGUGGAUAUGUUGACUCUUGAGUCCCGGGACGGUCCUUGUGGCGCGUCCCCCUUCCAGCGGAGCAGUUCAGGGGGUCCACAGAGCGCCCCCCCCACUCCAUGUACGUGAUGGGGACAGCGCUUGUCAUUGGACAGAAAACAGACAGAAAUGGCACAUUGCUUGUUGUUCUCUAUUCUACAUGUAAAUAGGAUUUAGGAUUUUUUUGUUGGCGGUGAGGCAGAAGGAAGAAGCCGGAGACGCAGCACGAGUCUUUUCCAGGAGAUGAGGCGGCGUCUCUAUGGCGUCUGUGCCAUGCCGCGACUAGACUUGAUCUUCUCCAGUCUUUUAGAGAGGUGACUGUUGUUGGACUCGAGUUCAUCGACCUUGUCCAGUGCCGUUCGCAGCUGUUGGAUCACACAAGAGGCGGGGGGUUAAAUUAGAACAGAGCCUGCUCAAAGGUCCUGCUCGUCUUUCUGUCGUUACGGUGAAAGUAAACUCUACCUCUCUCUGUAGUUUCCGUUUCUCCGCCUUCAGCUCGUCCUCCACCUUCUCUGCAUUCUCUGCUGCAGACUUGUAGCGCAGCACCUGACCCUCGAGUCGGGUCACCUGGAAGCCCCCAACAAUACAUAAACAACCACUUCUCAGGCGACAAUAGUCGCAAUGAGUCAGGAUUGUUCUGUCUUACAUUUUGUUCCAAGGCGGUCACUUCCUGCUCGGUCUUCACAAGCUUGAACUUAAAGUCACUUAUUUGCCUGCUCGAGUCUCCUGGAAAGAUUUAGCAAAAGCAAAUACGGUAGAGGAUUUAAUAGCCAAGAGCUAUAGACACAUGAGUAUACAUGUACUGUAUAGGUUUAUAUGCAAUAGUUCUCAUCUGUUCACUCACUCUGCAGUUCUAUCAAGUUCGGAUCGUUGCCGUUCUCCAGAAUCUCUCCGUCCGGGCUCACACUGCUGUCGGUGCCGUUCCGUUGUGUCUUCAGAUCCAGCUGGGACUUCAGCUUCUUCACCU
ensembl:lncRNA